GCACUACUGAGGAGUCCCACAAUAGGAGGGAACGGCCGUUCAGUGC
rfam:Schistosoma mansoni strain Puerto Rico chromosome W, complete genome